rnacentral:rRNA from 1 species
UCGGGUAAGGGAGGUAACCCCGGAAACUGGGGAUAAUACCUCAUAGACCAGGGAUGCUGGAAUGCUUUCUGGUCGAAAGGUCCGCCGCCUCAGGAUGGGUCUGCGGCCGAUUAGGUUGUUAUUGGGGUAACGGCCCAACAAGCCUUUGAUCGGUACGGGUUGUGGGAGCAAGAGCCCGGAGAUGGAUUCUGAGACACGAAUCCAGGCCCUACGGGGCGCAGCAGGCGCUAAAACUUUACAAUGCGAGAAAUCGUGAUAAGGGAACCCCGAGUGCCCGUAAAUCCGGGCUGUCCAUCAGUGUAAAUAACUGGUGAAGAAAGGGCCGGGCAAGACCGGUGCCAGCCGCCGCGGUAAUACCGGCGGCUCGAGUGGUGGCCGCUAUUACUGGGCUUAAAGCGUUCGUAGCUGGGCUGUUAAGUCCCCUGGGAAAUCCACCGGCUCAACCGAUGGGCGUUCAGGGGAUACUGGCAGCCUAGGGACCGGGAGAGGUGAGGGGUACUCCAGGGGUAGGAGUGAAAUCCUGUAAUCCUUGGGGGACCACCUGUGGCGAAGGCGUCUCACUAGAACGGCUCCGACAGUGAGGAACGAAAGCUGGGGAGCAAACCGGAUUAGAUACCCGGGUAGUCCCAGCUGUAAACGAUGCGCGUUAGGUGUAUCGGUGACCACGAGUCACCGAGGUGCCGAAGAGAAAUCGUGAAACGUGCCGCCUGGGAAGUACGGUCGCAAGGCUGAAACUUAAAGGAAUUGGCGGGGGAGCAC